GUUUAAUUCUAGAGAGGGAGCCUAAGAAACAGCUACUACAUCUAAGGAAGGCAGCAGGCGCGCAAAUUACCUAAUCCUAAUAUAGGGAGGUAGUGAUAAUAAAUACUAAUAUAGGGCUCUUUUAGGUCUUAUAAUUAGAAUGAGUACAAUUUAAACCUCUUAAUAAGGAAUAAUUAGAGGGUAAGUCUAGUGCUAGCAGCUGCAGUAAUUCUAGCUCUAAUAGCGUAUAUUAAAGUUAUUGCAGUUAAAAAGCUCGUAGUUAAACCUUGAGUCUAGCUAGCAGGUCUGCCUUACUGCGUGUACUUGUCCAGCUAGGCCUUCCUUCUAAAGAAUCUUAUGCCCUUUACUAGGCGUGUUAAGAACUAGGACUUUUACUUUAAAAAAAUUAGAGUGUUUAAAGCAGGCCUUUGCUUAAAUACGUUAGCAUAGAAUAAUAGAAUAGGACGUGCAGUUCUAUUUUGUUAGUUUCUAGGACUGCUGUAAUAAUUAAUAGGGACAGUUAGAGGCAUUAGUAUUUAAUUGUUAGAGGUGAAAUUCUUAGAUUUAUUAAAGACUAACUACUGCGAAAGCAUUUGCUAAGGAUGUUUUCAUUAAUUAGUAAACGAAAGUUAGAGGAUCGAAGACGAUUAGAUACUGUUAUAGUCUUAACUGUAAACUAUGCUAACUAGAGAUUAGGCGAUGUUCUUUUUCUAACUCGCUCAGCACCUUACGAGAAAUUAAAGUUUUUAGGUUCUAGAGGGAGUAUAGUUGCAAGGCUAAAACUUAAAGAAAUUAACAGAAGGGCACUACUAGGCGUAGAGCCUGCGGCUUAAUUUAACUUAACAUAGGGAAACUUACUAGAUCUAGAUGAAAUAAGGAUUGACAGAUUAAGAGCUCUUUCUUAAUUUUUUAGGUGGUAGUGCAUAGCUGUUCUUAGUUAGUAAAGUAAUUUGUCUGCUUAAUUGCGAUAACGAAUGAGACCUUAACCUGCUAAAUAGCUAGGCUAGCUUUAGCUAGUUACUAGCUUCUUAGAGAGACUAUUAGCUUAAGCUAAUAGAAGUUUAAGGCAAUAACAGGUCUGUAAUGCUCUUAGAUGUUCUGAGCUAUACGCGCGCUAUACUAACAGAGCUAAUAAGUUCUUUACCUUAGCUAAAAGGUCUAGGUAAUCUUGUUAAACUCUGUUAUGCUAGAGAUAGAGCAUUGCAAUUAUUGCUUUUUAAUGAGAAAUACCUAGUAAGCGCGUGUUAUCAGCAUGCGUUAAUUACGUCCCUGCUUUUUGUAUACACUGCCUAUCGCUACUACUAAUUAAAUAGCUUAGUAAGGCCUUUAGACUAGCUUAGAGAGGUUGGCAACGACUACCUUAAGCCGGAAAGUUCAUUAAACUUAGUUAUUUAGAGGAAGUAAAAGUCGUAACAAGGUUUCCGUAGGUAAACCUGCAGAAG
rnacentral:rRNA from 1 species